UACGUAGGGCGCGAGCGUUGUCCGGAUUUAUUGGGCGUAAAGAGCUCGUAGGCGGCUUGUCGCGUCGUCCGUGAAAACCUGCGGCUCAACUGCAGGCUGGCGGUCGAUACGGGCAGGCUGGAGUUCGGUAGGGGAGACUGGAAUUCCUGGUGUAGCGGUGAAAUGCGCAGAUAUCAGGAGGAACACCGGUGGCGAAGGCAGCUAACUAAGCUUUAACUGACGCUGAGGCACGAAAGUGUGGGGAUCAAACAGG
rnacentral:rRNA from 1 species